rnacentral:rRNA from 1 species
UACGGGGGGGGCAAGCGUUGUUCGGAAUUACUGGGCGUAAAGGGCGCGUAGGCGGUGCUCUAAGUCGGAUGUGAAAACUCUGGGCUCAACCCAGAGCCUGCAUCCGAAACUGCCGUGACUCGAGUCCGGUAGGGGAGUGUGGAAUUCCUGGUGUAGCGGUGAAAUGCGCAGAUAUCAGGAGGAACACCAGUGGCGAAGGCGGCACUCUGGGCCGGUACUGACGCUGAGGAGCGAAAGCGUGGGGAGCGAACAGG